UGGGGAAUUUUACGCAAUGGGGGAAACCCUGACGUAGCGACACCGCGUGAGCGAAGAAGCCUUUUGGGGUGUAAAGCUCUGUCAGCUGGAACGAACACAAUGACGGUACCAGCAGAGGAAGCAUCGGCUAACUACGUGCCAGCAGCCGCGGUAAGACGUAGGAUGCAAGCGUUGUCCGGAUUCAUUGGGCGUAAAGAGUUCGUAGGUGGUCUGUUAAGUUUGGUGUUAAAGAGCGGGGCCCAACCCCGAUAGUGCACUGAAUACUGGCAGACUUGAGUGCGGUAGAGGUAAGUGGAAUUCCAAGUGUAGCGGUGAAAUGCAUAGAUAAUUGGAAGAACACCGGUGGCGUAAGCGACUUACUGGGCCGUAACUGACACUGAGGAACGAAAGCCGGGGUAGCGAAUG
rnacentral:rRNA from 1 species